rnacentral:lncRNA from 1 species
GAGAUUAGUGAAUCUAACAUAUUGUGCGCCUCUCCAUAAGUUCUUCCAGUUGUGCGGAGUGUAUAGCUAUCUCUUUGUCUAGUCCAGCAAGGAAACUGAAACAAUUUCUACUACUGCACCUUGAUCUUUGACACCGUGUUCACCAUAACCAAUUUUCUCAGCUAAGAUCAAGUUGGCUUGUAAAAAUUUUAUAACCUGAAAUCAGG